GAUGAACGCUGGCGGCGUGCCUAAUACAUGCAAGUCGAACGCUGGAAAUCUAGCUUGCUAGAUUGAAGGAGUGGCGAACGGGUGAGUAAUACAUAAGCAACCUACCCACGAAGACUGGGAUAAUCUCUGGAAACGGGGACUAAUACCGGAUAGGUAAUCGGAAGGCAUCUUCUGAUUAUUAAAGGUUAAAAACACUGGUGGAUGGGCUUAUGGCGCAUUAGUUAGUUGGUGAGGUGACGGCCCACCAAGACGAUGAUGCGUAGCCGGCCUGAGAGGGUGAACGGCCACAUUGGGACUGAGACACGGCCCAGACUCCUACGGGAGGCAGCAGUAGGGAAUUUUCGGCAAUGGGGGAAACCCUGACCGAGCAACGCCGCGUGAGUGAUGACGGCCUUCGGGGUGUAAAGCUCUGUUGUAAGGGAAGAACGGUAGAUAGAGAAUAUCUAAAUGACGGUACCUUACCAGAAAGCCACGGCUAACUACGUG
rnacentral:rRNA from 1 species